GCCUGAGUGGUGUAGUGGUUUGAGCACUGGACUAUGACUCUCGGAGCCAGAGUUCAACUCCUUGCUCAGCCA